rnacentral:lncRNA from 1 species
CACUUGGAUGCUGUGGUGACAAGGGCUGCGUUUGUGCCUGAUUUAGGGAGAGCUCUAGCCCCGCAAAGCAGACAUGUUGAAGAACACAUCGUGUAUGACUCUCUUUUAAUUGCCCCCAAAUUUACUGAAGAAAUUGCUAGUAUCUCACUAGCGAUCGAGGCCUCCCAUGGGGUCUGCUCCAAGGCGUGCCGGGCUUGGCUCGCUCUCUGCUCCGUAAGUUAGCCAGGGAAUGAAUUCCAGAUCCCUGCUGUGCUGCUUCUGCUCUUGCAUUUGCAGGAAUCGCAGAAAAAAUAAAGGAUCUGCUAAGGGCUGCUAAACAUGGAUUUGACCCCUUGGGAGGCGUCCGAGCUACAAGUCACUGCAAGGACUGAUGCUGCUGUACAUGCAUAAUGACACAGAAAGCCUAGAGGAUAGUUUUACCAUGCAGCUGACAGAUGGCAAGCGCACAGUCCAAGGGACACUUUACAUCUACAUCAUGCCAGUCAACGAUGAAAUCCCUCAUCUUUCCAGGUUUUUGAAUGGCAUGGCAAAUCUAAACCCCGUCAUGAGCAUGCAGGAGUAUGGGUUUAGAAGUUGCAAUAGGUGAGAAAAGCCAUUUCCAGUGCUGGGUCAGCAGCAGACACCAAAGAUGCUUCAGGGGAUGAGCUCCACUGAAGUGUCCCCAUGUGCCCAG